CGCUGGCGGCGUGCCUAACACAUGCAAGUCGAACGGGGAUUUGUUUCGGCAGAAUCCUAGUGGCGAACGGGUGAGUAACGCGUAGGCAACCUGCCCUCCGGCCGGGGGACAACACUCCGAAAGGGGUGCUAAUACGGGAUACGAAGUCUGUGCCGCAUGGUACGGAUUUGAAAGAUGGCCUCUAUUUAUAAGCUAUCGCCGGGGGAUGGGCCUGCGUCCGAUUAGCUGGUUGGUGGGGUAACGGCCUACCAAGGCGACGAUCGGUAGCCGGUCUGAGAGGAUGAACGGCCACAUUGGGACUGAGACACGGCCCAGACUCCUACGGGAGGCAGCAGUGGGGAAUCUUCCGCAAUGGGCGCAAGCCUGACGGAGCAACGCCGCCGUGAGUGAGGAAGUUCUUCGGAACGUAAAGCUCUGUUGUUCCUGACGAACCUCCCCUCUAUCAACAACGGAGGGGACUGACGGUAGGGAACGAGGAAGCCACGGCUAACUACGUGCCAGCCGCGGC
rnacentral:rRNA from 1 species